rnacentral:lncRNA from 1 species
GUAAGUAUAAAAUAUACAGCAGAUUUCAAAGACAGUGGGAAAAAAUGUACAAUAUCUCUAUUGAUACUUUAAAAAUAUUGAUCACAUGUUGAAAUGGUAGUACUUUAGAUAUGUUGGGUUUAUUUUUAAUUUUUCAAAAUGUGGCUAAUAGAAAAUUUAAAGUUAUAUAUGUAGCUUACAUAAUAUUUCUAUUUGCUGUAGGAUUCAGUGGCUUACCCAGCACUUCAGAAGACAUUUGAAAAUCAGUCAUGUUCCUCAACCAAGUGAUGCCUUUUAGCGGUGCAAAUUCUGUGCUUAGGAAACUUGCUGCUUGCCCUAAUCUUUUCUUUUUUUGUUUUAAAAUGUGUCAUGUGGCAUUUAAUUGUCCUCAUCUUAUCAAGGGUUCAGUGCACCCUAAUGAGACUUGAAUGCAUCACAAAAUGAUGGAGGAAGGUAGCCUGGGCCCAACUGAACUCACUGUGUAUUCAGAAAAUAACCCACAGUUGGGAAAUUCACAGUGCCAUUGCUUUGAAUCAAAUCCUUACUUCAUACCAGGAUGUACCAUGAUUCUUGGCAACAUGACUGGGUAUUGAUGUCUUGUCUAGCCAAUGAAAUCCACAUAGCAAAGAUGUUAUGAAGACAUGGAAACAUGAAUAUGAAAUAAAAUCAGUAUAGCUAUUUGGAUGAUUAGCUAUCGACACAAGACAGUCCCUGGUAAUUGCCUUUAAUAGUAAGGUAGCACUAGGCCAUGAAAGGUGCUUCAGUGUACCUGCCUCAUUUGUGGCUCCCUUUUGGCCAUGUGACCCUAACUCCCCUGGUCACAAGUGGCUGAACCAGCAAUCAAUACCUGACCUGAAGGCAACCCUCUAUAGGCUGGCAAGUGGCCUACAAAGUUGCUCAGUGCUAGAGAACUGAGCCCAACAGAAGUACAUUCUAAUGUUUAGUGAUUGGCCAAUCGUAUUCUUUGUGAUGGUGCUGAUGGGAAGGUAGUGAUGUGCAUCAGACAUGCAGAGUUAGUAGCAGCUGGAGCAGACACAGAAGCCUCCCUAACAAUGGGCAAUGGAGAAAGGAACAACAGACAGUUCUGAAAGAAUACCAAGUGCUCCUAAGCCAAAAGCUAUAGUUAGGCUGCUGGAGGUACUGCCAGUCCUAAAUGAUGGCAAUGAUGGUCCAUUUUUCUGUGAAACUUGACUGUAUACCUGUUAAGAUUUUUUUGUGUUCUUUUUAAGGCUCCAUGAAUGAAUCUUUCCAAUAAACAAGUUUGUAACAAAGGCAACCUGAACAUUUCUGAUACUUGAAACUUGAAAAUAUCUAAUACAAUUUUACAUCACUUUCAAAUCAUGAGUGAAGAAGUUAAUGUGUUAUUGAAUUAGAUUCCCUAUACAUAUGUCAGUUACUUAUUCAAUCAAUAAUAUGUACUGAUAACCUACUAUGUGCCAGACAUGUA